GCUGAUGAUGUAGGUGUAACAUGUGAGACUGAUUCAAAACCAGAAUCAAGUGUCUCCAGUGAUUUACAUGAAGAAAUUUCCACAGUAAGUAUUGGUCAAGAGUCGGUUGAGGAAUCUGGUACACAGGAUACAGAUGUUCGACGUUCAGGUCGUCACAGAAAUAAACCACAAUGGAUGACGGGUGGUGAGUUUGUGUUAUCUCACACUACGCCAUCUCCGGAGUGGCUGGAGAAAGCAGAGUUUCUUCGCACUCUGGCGUUGUCAGGAGCUUUCCAUGAUUUGCCUGUUGAGGUGAGGAAAGCCAUUAUAGCACUGGUUGCGGGUACAUAGUGAAUGACGAGGAUGUCAAUUUUCAAUGGGGGGAAGUGUGUAACAGGAUAUGAUGUCAAUUGAGACAUAUCAGAUUUUAUUGUUCAGGUGAAGGUGUUUUAUGUAAUUAUAAAAUUAUGCAAAUAAAAAGUAUAAACUGUUAAACUCCAAAAAUAUGUUUAAAGCUUUUAUUGGUGAAGGGUUAUUUAAUAAACAUUGUGGUUGUUUAAAAUCAGAUUUACAAAACUGAUAAAAGGUUUGGUGAGGGUUUGUUCAUAAAAUUCUAUGUGGUUGAGGUGCAUCUGAAUUAUGCCCCUUUGUGGAAUAUUUACAUCACUAAGGAAGUGAGGUGGUUCAUUCUGGCCUCAAUUUCAUAUUGUGUGUAAUGUGACCAGAGAUUAAGCCUCUGAUUGGGUACAAGUUUUUUAGGCAUAUUAAAUACACUGAGUGUCCAAGCACAUGGCACUUAGUAUCCAGCAUUGCACAGCACAGCAGCAGCACUGUUACUUGCCACAGAAGGUGCCAAACGGGUAGAAUAGUAAACUCCAUUCCAUUCCAUAGAUGGGUAAGGUGUAUUUUCCUUAGUACAUUGUGUGAAUGUUUUGAAUGUUUGGAACGUGGUGUGCGUGUGUAUUUGUGUAACAUGACGAUUUUAAUUUAAUUAAUGCAACCAAUGAAAUGUUACCCUAUUUGUGAUAUACAAUAUUCUUAUAGAAUGAUUGUUUGCUGUCCAUUGAAUUAUUGUUAAAUGUUUCAGGGUGAUGUUUUGUGGAUUUAACUACCUCACGGAGAAUAAAAUGUCCUCCCCUA